AAAGAAUUAGUUAAAUUAACAUUAGUAUGUCAUGCUAAAAUUGUUGGUUCAAUCCAGCAUUCUUUA
rnacentral:tRNA from 1 species